GAGAUUGAGCGCGAGGCUUCCUCCUCCCUGCUAAGCGCUCAUACAUUGGCACCCGAUCUUCCUCCUCCCUGUGACGGUGCCAAACAAAAAGAGCGGCGAUACCAUCCUCCCUGGUAUCGCCGUUUUUU
rnacentral:ncRNA from 17 species